rnacentral:rRNA from 1 species
UACGGGAGUGGCAAGCGUUAUCCGGAAUUAUUGGGCGUAAAGCGUCCGCAGGCGGCCUUUUAAGUCUGUUGUUAAAGCGUGGAGCUUAACUCCAUUUGAGCAAUGGAAACUGGAAGGCUUGAGUGUGGUAGGGGCAGAGGGAAUUCCCGGUGUAGCGGUGAAAUGCGUAGAUAUCGGGAAGAACACCAGUGGCGAAGGCGCUCUGCUGGGCCAUAACUGACGCUCAUGGACGAAAGCCAGGGGAGCGAAAGGGAUUAGAUACCCCUGUAGUCCUGGCCGUAAACGAUGAACACUAGGUGUCGGGGGAAUCGACCCCCUCGGUGUCGUAGCCAACGCGUUAAGUGUUCCGCCUGGGGAGUACGCACGCAAGUGUGAAACUCAAAGGAAUUGACGGGGGCCCGCACAAGCGGUGGAGUAUGUGGUUUAAUUCGAUGCAACGCGAAGAACCUUACCAGGGUUUGACAUCCUGCGAAUCCCUUGGAAACGAGGGAGUGCCUUCGGGAGCGCAGUGACAGGUGGUGCAUGGCUGUCGUCAGCUCGUGUCGUGAGAUGUUGGGUUAAGUCCCGCAACGAGCGCAACCCACGUCGUUAGUUGCCAGCAUUCAGUUGGGCACUCUAGCGAGACCGCCGGUGAUAAACCGGAGGAAGGUGUGGAUGACGUCAAGUCAUCAUGCCCCUUACAUCCUGGGCUACACACGUACUACAAUGCUACGGACAAAGGGCAGCAAACUCGCGAGAGCUAGCAAAUCCCAUAAACCGUGGCUCAGUUCAGAUCGUAGGCUGCAACUCGCCUACGUGAAGGAGGAAUCGCUAGUAAUCGCAGGUCAGCAUACUGCGGUGAAUACGUUCCCGGGCCU